AAUAUUGGACAAUGGGGGGAACCCUGAUCCAGCGACGCCGCGUGUGUGAAGAAGGCCUUUUGGUUGUAAAGCACUUUAUGUGAGGAGGAGGAGCCCUUGGUUAAUACCUAAGAUGUUUGGACGUUACUAGUAGAAUAAGCCCCGCCUAAUUCUGUGCCAGCAGCCGCGGUAAUACAGAGGUUGCAAGCGUUAAUCGGAUUUACUGGGGGUAAAGCGGGCGUAGGUGGCCAAUAAAGUCAAAUGUGAAAUCCCCGAGCUUAACUUGGGAAUUGCAUUCGAUACUGGUUGGCUAGAGUAUGGGAGGGGAUGGUGAAAUUCCAGGUGUAGCGGUGAAAUGCGUAGAGAUCUGAAGGAAUACCGAUGGCGAAGGCAGCCAUCUGACCUAAUACUGACACUGAGGUGCGAAAGCAUGGGGAGCAAACAG
rnacentral:rRNA from 1 species